UAGGGAAUCUUCGGCAAUGGACGAAAGUCUGACCGAGCAACGCCGCGUGAGUGAAGAAGGUUUUCGGAUCGUAAAACUCUGUUGUUAGAGAAGAACAAGGACGUUAGUAACUGAACGUCCCCUGACGGUAUCUAACCAGAAAGCCACGGCUAACUACGUGCCAGCAGCCGCGGUAAUACGUAGGUGGCAAGCGUUGUCCGGAUUUAUUGGGCGUAAAGCGAGCGCAGGCGGUUUCUUAAGUCUGAUGUGAAAGCCCCCGGCUCAACCGGGGAGGGUCAUUGGAAACUGGGAGACUUGAGUGCAGAAGAGGGGAGUGGAAUUCCAUGUGUAGCGGUGAAAUGCGUAGAUAUAGGGAGGAACACCAGUGGCGAAGGCGGCUCGCUGGACUGUAACUGACGCUGAGGCGCGAAAGCGUGGGGAGCAAACAGG
rnacentral:rRNA from 1 species